GUUUUAGACCAGCAUAUGUCCAGAUAGCGAUUACAUCGAGCUACCGCUUUUUGAAAGUUUUUUUUUUAGAAAUCGAAAGAAAAGUUGAUCAAGAUGAAUUCAAAAUUUGUGAUUGUUCUUAUGCUAUGCAGUCUGAUGGCUCUUCAAAUGAGUUCUGUUGAAGGUAUAUGUUACAGCUACGUUUGUAGGCGACGAUGUAUCUACAGACCACCUCAUUACGAGGAGUACGCUUUCAGAUAUCUUUGGCCAAGGGCUUGCGGUCAAAGAGCCGUGAGAUUCUACGGGAUCAAAGCCUGUUGUAGGACCUGGGGCCGAUAUUAGUGCCUCUAUCAAAAUAUCGACGUUUUCGAGACGAGGUGGGGGGCAAUCACGUGAUUUCUUCUUGGCCAUAUAAUUUUUUUUAUUUAUUAUCUUUCGGGGACAAACGCAACUACUGGAACCGGCUCUUGGUUGUGUGUUUUGCAAUUCAAUUUACAUCCAUUUGUUAUGAUACGAUGUAUUUACAGACUAUCUUUCACAAUAAAUCCUUAUUUUUUCGUUAAAAUGAUUUUGUGUUGUUUUCCCCCAAGUGAUUUAUCGCAUCAAUUAUGCUGACGAAGAAUACAUUAAAUCUUCUUAACUGA